CUCGUGUACGGUGGUGAUGACAAGCUAAACCUCAACCAAGACUAGUACUGGAAGGAGUUGGUGAAUUGGGUGGACCGGGUGGGCGGCUUCGGCCCCGCUACCACGUUCGACUUCACCACCAAGGGCAUCCUGAACGUCGCUGUGGAGGGCGAGCUGUGGCGGCUACAUGGCACUGGCGGCAAGGUGCUAGGCUGGUGGCCAGCCAAGGCGGUGACCUUUGUGGACAACCAUGACAUUGGAUCCACGCAGCACAUGUGGCCCUUCCCAUCUGGUAGGGUCAUGCAGGGAUAUGCCUACCUCACGCACCCAAGGAUCCCAUGCAUCUUCUACUAUCAUUUCUUCGAUUGGGGCCUCAAGGAGGAGAUCGAUUGUCUGGUAUCAAUCAGGACCCGGCAGGGGAUACAUAGUGAGAGCAAGCUGCAAAUCAUAAAGGCUGAUGUCGACCUUUAUCUCGCUGAGAUCGGUGGCAAGGUCAUCGUCAAGCUCGGCAGAUACGAUGUGGGACACCUCAUUCCGAGGGGGGGCUUCAAGAUGGUCGCGCGGGGCAAUGACUAUGUCGUAUGGGAGGAAAUAUGA
rnacentral:rRNA from 1 species